rnacentral:rRNA from 1 species
AUUGAACGCUGGCGGCAUGCCUUACACAUGCAAGUCGAACGGCAGCAUGAUCUAGCUUGCUAGAUUGAUGGCGAGUGGCGAACGGGUGAGUAAUACAUCGGAACGUGCCUUGUAGUGGGGGAUAACUAGUCGAAAGAUUAGCUAAUACCGCAUACGACCUGAGGGUGAAAGUGGGGGACCGCAAGGCCUCAUGCUAUAGGAGCGGCCGAUGUCUGAUUAGCUAGUUGGUGAGGUAAAGGCUCACCAAGGCGACGAUCAGUAGCUGGUCUGAGAGGAAGAUCAGCCACACUGGGACUGAGACACGGCCCAGACUCCUACGGGAGGCAGCAGUGGGGAAUUUUGGACAAGGGGGGCAACCCUGAUCCAGCCAUGCCGCGUGUGUGAAGAAGGCCUUCGGGUUGUAAAGCACUUUUGUCCGGAAAGAAAUCGCACUUACUAAUAUUAGGUGUGGAUGACGGUACCGGAAGAAUAAGGACCGGCUAACUACGUGCCAGCCGCCGCAGUAAAAC